CCAAUAGCGUAUAUUAAAGUUGUUGCAGUUAAAAAGCUCGUAGUUGAACUUCGGGGUCUACCCAUUGGUCAGGCUUAAUUGUCUGUACUGGUGAGAUGGAUCUCUACCUUCUGAGGAACUCUCAUGCCAUUUAUUUGGUGUGGUUGGAAAUCAGGACUGUUACUUUGAAAAAAUUAGAGUGUUUAAAGCAGACUAUCGUCUGAAUACAUUAGCAUGGAAUAAUGAAAUAGGACGGACUGAUUCUAUUUCGUUGGUUUCUAGGAUCACCGUAAUGAUUAAUAGGGAUAGUUGGGGGCAUUAGUAUUCAAUUGUCAGAGGUGAAAUUCUUGGAUUUAUUGAAGACUAACUACUGCGAAAGCAUUUGCCAAGGAUGUUUUCAUUAAUCAAGAACGAAAGUUAGGGGAUCGAAGACGAUCAGAUACCGUCGUAGUCUUAACCAUAAACUAUGCCGACUAGGGAUCGGACGAAGUUAAUUUUAUAAUGACGCGUUCGGCACCUUACG
rnacentral:rRNA from 1 species